AGAAGUGUGAAGGCAAACAUUAAAUGCUGAAUGUGCUUAUUUUAGGAGGUAGGAGGCUGAAUCUGAACGAAAACUCAGAAGUUCAGUAUUGGAAGUAUCAGUUUAUAUCCAAGACUUAUUUUGCAGGAGGAUUGAACUUCAGUCUUGACAAGAAGUGUGAAAGUCUUCACCACUUGCUAUCCAGAUACCAAAAGGAAAAAAUCCUUCAGGGUUCACCUAAACAUCAUUUACAGUGUAGCUGUCUAAGUGACCAAAUACCACUGCAUUCCUUUCCUGUGAACGUGGCAAUUCCUAAAACCGAGGGAAGUACAGAAUUUCAGCAGGGAGAGCCUGAACCUCAGGACACUCCCUACUUGGAGGGUGAAUCAGGCUGCGCAUGAAGUAUGAGAGGCUGUCUUCUGCAAGUACUUGGUUUGGCCAAAAAGCUGGAAGAACGAAGCCAAAGCUGCAGAAAGAAGAGCCUGGUUUACAGUCAGGAAUAUGUGAUAACCUGGGGCGUUUUGCUCUGGAUCUGUCCCUGUCAUAACCCUGUCCUGUCCUGUCCUGCCCUCUCUUCUCUUCCCUCCUCUCCUGUCUUUAUUUAGUGCUAUUCAGUGCUAAGUCCAUGGAAAAAAUCUUGGAAAAUAAUAAUUCCAAGACUUAAGAAGCUGGGGAACAGCAGUGAAUUGUAAGAUUUAAUUCUAACCUAUUCAGUUGUGAAAUAACAUCCUUUCAGCAUUCUGAAAGUCUUCUGAAAAUAUUAGUAUUAUGGUCAAAUUUAGACAUUAAAUUGGCUAUUAUUUUAUCAUCAGUUUGGCUAUACAGUGGUAACACAGCAGAUACAGACAGCAUAAUAUAUUGGCCCUUAUGCAAAAACUACUGCACAUUGCAUUAAGAACCUGUUUUAAAAUGUUUUAUUAGCAAAACUCCAGAAUUCUGAGCAGUUUUGCUGUUGCCACAGUCUCCAUAGUUACAUGUGAUUAAAUUUCUAAAAUAAAAAAGAAACAGCAGAUCUGGGGAGGUCGGUCACAUUAUCAUUUCAUCAUUUUUAACGAUCAAAGUGUUAUGGAGAGAUAAGACAGAUGAAACCCAGAAAACUCCUCUACAUUUAUAUUCUGAUAUCUUCUUAUAGAACUUCAUUAAUAGAAAUUCCACAUUAAGAAAAUAACACUUAGAGGCUUGUUUCUUUUCCAAGAACUCAAAGAAAAGUGUUUGAAUCUUGCUAAAAUGUUAAACUUCCUGGAAAAGUAUUGCUAAAUCAAAGGAAAUUGCCAGAUUGCAGUAAAGCUUUUUCAUCAGGAAAGAAAGUACACUUCUUCUCUGUGGCCUGUAAAAAAAAUAAAAUAAAAUAAAAUAAAUAAAUAAAUAAAAAAUACAGAAAUUGACAAGUAAUUAGAAGGUCAAAAAAAAAAAUCAUUUUUUUUUAUCCCUUUAUCUUUGUUAUAAACUGCCUUCAGCUGAUACUGUUUUGACCACAGGACUUCAGGCUACGUAUAUUCCAAAGAUCAUUACAAGAUAAUAAACAAUUAAUUUGGAAUUUUUCUCCUCUUCACAGACAAAUUAUGUUUUUUUCAUCUUUAAAUGAAUCGGUUUCUUCUUCUGCAUUAUGCUUACUUUAUACUUAUACAUUCCUUGUUCGUUUUGUUUUGCUUUGUAUGUGUGUGUUUCCUUUUUGUUGAUCGUGGUGGGUUUAUUUGCUGGGAGGAGAGAGAGGCAAAUUCUGGGACAAAGGAAGUUUCUACUCUAACACUAGACUCCUGAUGGCCGUUAAUUCAGAAAAUCUUCCCUAAAAAUCAAGGGAAUCUCUCGUCCCCAUGUUCAGAAGGAACAAUUUGAUACAUAUAAGGAAUUACUUUUUUUCUGGGUGAAUAUCACUGUUAUGGUUAAAUAAAGGUGGAAAAAAUUGGUUUUUAGGUCUGCA